rnacentral:rRNA from 1 species
UACGUAGGGGGCAAGCGUUGUCCGGAAUCAUUGGGCGUAAAGCGCGCGUAGGCGGCCCGAUCAGUCCGCUGUAAAAGUCCAGGGCUCAGCCCUGGAAAGCCGGUGGAUACUGUCGGGCUAGAGUCCGGAAGAGGCGAGUGAAAUUCCUGGUGUAGCGGUGGAAUGCGCAGAUAUCAGGAGGAACACCGAUAGCGAAGGCAGCUCGCUGGGACGGUACUGACGCUGAGGUGCGAAAGCGUGGGGAGCGAACAGG